UACGUAGGGGGCAAGCGUUGUCCGGAAUCAUUGGGCGUAAAGCGCGUGUAGGCGGCCCGGUAAGUCCGCUGUGAAAGUCGGGGGCUCAACCCUCGAAUGCCGGUGGAUACUGUCGGGCUAGAGUGCGGAAGAGGCGAGUGGAAUUCCUGGUGUAGCGGUGAAAUGCGCAGAUAUCAGGAGGAACACCGGUGGCGAAGGCGGAUCUCUGGGCCAUUACUGACGCUGGAGGAGCGAAAGCGUGGGGAGCGAACAGG
rnacentral:rRNA from 1 species